GGCUAGCGUUGCUCGGAAUCACUGGGCGUAAAGCGCACGUAGGCGGGUUGCUAAGUCAGGGGUGAAAUCCUGGAGCUCAACUCCAGAACUGCCCUUGAUACUGGCGGCCUUGAGUCCGGGAGAGGUGAGUGGAGCUGCGAGUGUAGAGGUGAAAUUCGUAGAUAUCGAGAGGAACACCAGUGGCGAAGGCGAGUCUCUGGACGACUCCUGACACUGAGGCACGAAAGCUGGGGGAGCAAACAGG
rnacentral:rRNA from 1 species